rfam:Brassica napus, WGS project CCCW01000000 data, contig: 17067
GGAAUAUAAUAACCCGUCUCUUAAUUUUUAACUAAAAAACUAAGAACCGGUUUUUAAAUAAAAUAUUUAAAAACCGGUUCUUACCUUUUUUUAAUUAAAAGUUAAGAGACGGAUUCUUAUGUUCU